rnacentral:rRNA from 1 species
GAAUGCUGACAUAAGUAACGAUAAAGCGGGUGAAAAGCCCGCUCGCCGGAAGACCAAGGGUUCCUGUCCAACGUUAAUCGGGGCAGGGUGAGUCGACCCCUAAGGCGAGGCCGAAAGGCGUAGUCGAUGGGAAACGGGUUAAUAUUCCCGUACUUGGUGUUACUGCGAAGGGGGGACGGAGAAGGCUAUGUUGGCCGGGCGACGGUUGUCCCGGUUUAAGCGUGUAGGUGUGUGUUCCAGGUAAAUCCGGUUCACUUUAACACUGAGGCGU